AAUUGAAAAUUCUUGCUAUUGCACAAUACUGUGCAAUUGAAGAUUUCUUGCUAUUGAUGAAUACUGUGCAAUUGAAAAUUUCUUGCUAUUGCACAAUACUUAAUGUAAUAAUUUUGGAUCCUGAUUUGGACCAACUUGAAAACUGGGCCCAUAAUCAAAAAUCUAAGUACAUGUUUAGAUUCAGCAUAUCAAAGAAGCCCAAUAAUUCAAUUUUUGUUAAAAUCAAACUAAGUUUACUU
rnacentral:lncRNA from 1 species